rnacentral:rRNA from 1 species
AACGAACGCUGGCGGCAGGCCUAACACAUGCAAGUCGAACGUGAAGCCACCUUCGGGAGGUGGAAAGUGGCAGACGGGUGAGUAACGCGUGGGAACGUGCCUUUCGGUUCGGGAUAACCCAGGGAAACUUGGGCUAAUACCGGAUACGCCCUCCGGGGGAAAGAUUCAUCGCCGAAAGAUCGGCCCGCGUCGGAUUAGCUAGUUGGUGGGGUAAUGGCCUACCAAGGCGACGAUCCGUAGCUGGUCUGAGAGGAUGAUCAGCCACACUGGGACUGAGACACGGCCCAGACUCCUACGGGAGGCAGCAGUGGGGAAUAUUGGACAAUGGGCGCAAGCCUGAUCCAGCCAUGCCGCAUGGGUGAAGAAGGCCCUAGGGUUGUAAACCCCUUUCAGCGGGGAAGAUAAUGACGGUACCCGCAGAAGAAGCCCCGGCUAACUCCGUGCCAGCAGCCGCGGUAAUACGGAGGGGGCUAGCGUUGUUCGGAAUUACUGGGCGUAAAGCGCGCGUGGGCGGACCUGCAAGUCGGGGGU